ACCUAGGCGACGAUCCCUAGCUGGUCUGAGAGGAUGACCAGCCACACUGGAACUGAGACACGGUCCAGACUCCUACGGGAGGCAGCAGUGGGGAAUAUUGCACAAUGGGCGCAAGCCUGAUGCAGCCAUGCCGCGUGUGUGAAGAAGGCCUUCGGGUUGUAAAGCACUUUCAGCGGGGAGGAAGGCGAUAAGGUUAAUAACCUUGUCGAUUGACGUUACCCGCAGAAGAAGCACCGGCUAACUCCGUGCCAGCAGCCGCGGUAAUACGGAGGGUGCAAGCGUUAAUCGGAAUUACUGGGC
rnacentral:rRNA from 1 species